CCUACGGGUGGCAGCAGUGAGGAAUAUUGGUCAAUGGGCGCGAGCCUGAACCAGCCAAGUCGCGUGAGGGAAGACGGUCCUAUGGAUUGUAAACCUCUUUUGUCGGGGAGCAAAAGACGCCACGCGUGGCGUUCCGUGAGUACCCGAAGAAAAAGCAUCGGCUAACUCCGUGCCAGCCGCCGCGGUAAUACGGAGGAUGCGAGCGUUAUCCGGAUUUAUUGGGUUUAACGGGUGCGCAGGCGGAAGAUCAAGUCAGCGGUAAAAUUGAGAGGCUCAACCUCUGCGCGCCGUUGAAACUGGUUUUCUUGAGUGAGAGAGAGGUAUGCGGAAUGCGUGGUGUAGCGGUGAAAUGCAUAGAUAUCACGCAGAACUCCGAGUGCGAAGGCAGCAUACCGGCGCUCAACUGACGCUCAUGCACGAAAGUGUGGGUAUCGAACAGGAUUAGAUACCCUAGUAGUC
rnacentral:rRNA from 1 species